AUGAUUUAUAGUGUAUUUAAUAUUAGAAUCUUUAACUUCUGAUUUUCCAACCACUUUUAGCAAAUUCAUCCGUGUUAAACUCAUAUUUUUCAUUAUUGUGUGUAAUCAGUAAAGAUAAAAUAAAAUGAAUAUAAUAACUAAAUAUAUAUUCACUUUAAUAAUGGCCUGUUGUUCAUUUUAGAGCAAGAGUCUCCUUGUGCUGAACGGUUUAACAGCACCUCCACAUCACCUGCAUCAGAGUGUGUUUUCUGCUGGAAUCUGCUGUUCAGUGUGUGUUCGGUGUGUGUUCUCCUCUUCUCCAUCUGCGUCUACUGCCUCUGUCAGAAGAAAACUACAGGUUCUGGGGCUGAGAACAGACAUGUUGAGGCUGGUGAUGAAGUGUGUUAUGCUUCAUUAGACAUGCCUUCCACACAGCAACAAAGGCAGAGGAAUAAAAGAGCUCAGAGUUCAGACUUCAGUAUUUAUUCUAAUGUCAGAACCAGCAGAAUGUAAAGUAGAGUAAACUAAAGUCAUUGUUCUUUAGUAGAAAUAUGAUUCAAAAGAGUGUUAAUGGCAAUGUUCUGGCAUCUGCAUCUGAGUUAAACUGCAGUGUUGAUUGUUAAUAAGAAUGUAUAAAUGUGUGUGAGGCAUGAAUGUCUGACACACUGCUUUCUUCGAAAUAUCUUCUUUUGUGCAAACUCCAUGAAGAUUUGAAACCGCUUGAGUUUGAGUAAACGGUGAGUAAAUCUGGAUUUCUGUGUGAACUCUCCCUUUAUUUGAGCUCUCUCCAGUCACUCUAGGAAGACACUACACCUGGAUUAUUUGUCUAAAUAAUACGUUUAUUAUUAAAAUCCCUAUUAACAUUAAAGACAUCUGAAGCGGUGGCUUAGUGCAGGUAAAGGGGCCCCGGCCCUGGGUGAGUCGGCCAUUAGUUAAUGCCCACUCCUCAUUCUGCAGGUGAUCAGGAAGCAGUUCUCUGCACUUCCUGUGUGACUCCUGCUCACCCUACA